GGAUGAGUUAUCUGAGAUCUUAAAAUAGCAUUUUGUUCAUUUGACUAGCACUUUAUAAGCCAAUGAAACAAACACAGACUCUCUGAGAGCCUAAAUGCUCAUUUGUAACUUCCAGAAACGCAGCAAAGACGAACAGAAAAUGAAGCUGUGACUGUUCCUUAAAAUUUAUUGGCACAGCUAAAUAGGAGAUGAGAAUUGACAAAUGCUGUGAUAGCUUUAUUCUCCUAAAAAGAUUUUGAAAGAUUUUAAAAAAGCAUAGCCACUCUUGUGUUCAAAAUUUUUUAUGUGACAAAGACUUUCCCAGCAGAAUGAUUUGCAGUUCUGUAAAUAUCUGAAAUAAAAGUCAGCUGAAGAAGAAUCCAACUCGAAAUUUAUAUUAGGUGGCAAUAAAAAGUAUAUGCCAUUUUGUAUUUAUGUAAAAUAAUUGGCCCUCUUUGUCUUUGCUCAUAUCCUGUGUCAGAUAGCUUUUCUGAACCAGAUAAAUGACUGCCCUGGUUAGAGAUGUGCAGUGAAGACAGUGAGUGUCCUUAACUCGUGUGUCACAAGAGUCUCACCCAGGGGCAAAGGUCAAGUCCUUCCUCUCCGUCUUACCAGCCAAGCUGCUCAGUGGGGCUAUUUUGGUAAUGCUUUAAUCUGAACUUAGAAUUGAUUUCUUUUAAAAACUCUAACUGUUAAUGGUAUAAAACUAGCAGAUAGUGCCUCGUUAUCAUCCUUGAGUAAGACAAUUCUGUUGGCGGAAAAAACAGGAGCCCCUUUCUCCUUUCGUGUUAAGCACCCUAAAGCCAUCAGCAUCUCUUUUGACAAAUGCUAGCCCUUUCUCUGUGCUUUGGCAUCAAGUUCCUGUGUCAUCACCUGGAUUGUAAAA
rnacentral:lncRNA from 1 species